UACAGAGGUCUCAAGCGUUGUUCGGAUUCAUUGGGCGUAAAGGGUGCGUAGGUGGCGCCGUAAGUCGGGUGUGAAAUUUCGGAGCUUAACUCCGAAACUGCAUUCGAUACUGCGGUGCUUGAGGACUGGAGAGGAGACUGGAAUUCAUGGUGUAGCGGUGAAAUGCGCAGAUAUCAGGAGGAACACCGGUGGCGAAGGCGGUUCUCUGGGCAUGAUCUGACGCUGAGGAGCGAAAGUGUGGGGAGCGAACAGG
rnacentral:rRNA from 1 species